UUCGACUAGGGACAACUUUUAGAAUAACCAUACAAGUAAAGAGUUUCACAUAGAAUUCAUAUAAUUGCAAAUCAAUUCAAGUAGCCUUGAAUGGAUAUUCAAGGAACACAAUAUAAAUCAUGGAUACAAUGGGAUAUCAUCAUCUCUAUGAUUGCCUCUAGGGCAUACUCCAACAGAUUGAAGCCGCAAGAACCAUGCUUGAUGAGUACAAGACCCUGGAUAUCUGUUGGGCAGAAGCAAUUAACACUGCUUGCCAUGCCAUCAACCGUCU
rnacentral:lncRNA from 1 species